UACGGAAGGCAGCAGUGGGGAAUAUUGCACAAUGGGCGAAAGCCUGAUGCAGCUAUGCCGCGUGUAUGAAGAAGGCCUUAGGGUUGUAAAGUACUUUCAUCGGGGAGGAAAAACAAAACUAAUAAUUUUAUUUCUUGACGUUACCCGAAAAAGAAGCACCGGCUAACUCCGUGCCAGCAGCCGCGGUAAUACGGAGGGUGCUAGCGUUAAUCAGAAUUACUGGGCGUAAAGAGCACGUAGGUGGUUUUUUAAGUCAGAUGUGAAUCCCUGGGCUUAACCUAGGAACUGCAUUUUGAAACUGAAAUACUAGAGUAUCGUAGAGGGAGGUAGAAUUCUAGGUGUAGCGGUGAAAUGCGUAGAUAUCUGGAGGAAUACCUGUGGCGAAAGCGGCCUCCUAAACGAAUACUGACACUGAGGUGCGAAAGCGUGGGGAGCGAACAGGAGUUAGAUACC
rnacentral:rRNA from 1 species